UACGUAGGGUGCGAGCGUUAAUCGGAAUUACUGGGCGUAAAGCGUGCGCAGGCGGUUUUGUAAGACAGGCGUGAAAUCCCCGGGCUUAACCUGGGAACUGCGUUUGUGACUGCAAGGCUAGAGUGCGGCAGAGGGGGGUAGAAUUCCACGUGUAGCAGUGAAAUGCGUAGAGAUGUGGAGGAAUACCGAUGGCGAAGGCAGCCCCCUGGGUCGACACUGACGCUCAUGCACGAAAGCGUGGGGAGCAAACAGG
rnacentral:rRNA from 1 species